UUAUAAUUAAUAUUUGAAGUUGAUUAAAACCAUUUNUUAUAGGAAGAUAUGGUACUUGUUAUCUGGUAAGCCAGCUAUAAUUAAAUGUUGAAAUUCCCUGGAAAUUGCUUAAUAUGGCUCUUCGGUGAUUGAAGCUAUUAAAGAGAGACACUUUGGAGAGUCGCAGCUUCUUUGCUUAAUUCUUUAUGUGCUCCUUCUAUUGAGCAUAUUGAUGGAUUAACUUUUUGGAAAACUAUUUUAGGAAUAUAAUAGUUGCUUUCCUAAUUCAUGAUAUGAAUCUUCAAGCUCGUCAGUCAUGAGGAAAACCAGGAAGUUCAUAUUUUGUGCAAGUCAGGCAAGAAAUACGUGUGUGAUGAUUUGGAGCAAUAAUUUUGGGCAAUACGGUGAAUGUAGAAUAUGGCAGAGUCUAAAGGAAUCGAGCUUUUAUGUGAUAAAUGUCACUUUAAUCAAGAUGUUGCGGGGAAUAAGACAGAGAGAUCUUAGUAAACGAGCACGAGGGAUAGCAACCAAAACUUGUUCGGAGAAAAAGCAGAUGUUCACCGAUGCAACAGCCAGAUAAAGAGGUAUAUUUAUGUGCAGUUUAUAUGGUAGCUUUGAAUGGAGGACUCAUCAUGGUUUGAUCGUUUCAUUUUCAAAGUGAAUUACAAAGACCAAAAGACUAUACAUGUUUCCAACGAUCCUCUGUCAAAACUGUGACCAAACGGUAUGGGAUUAGAGGAUGGAUCGAUCGAGUUUGAAUUUCUACUGAUGUAUAUGGAAAGACAAACCUAUUUGACUGUAAUGUCUAUGGUUUGUGCUGUGCUAGUUUUUGAACUUGUAUUGCUGUUUAAAUUAUGCAGAUAUAUGUUUGCGACUUUUGUGAUGCUCGUGCUGAGCAGAAUCCUUUUAUUAGUCGUUUUCUUCAUUGUAAAUCUGGUUUCAUUGAGUAUAAAAAUAUGUAUUGCUUUUGCCAUUCAUGAUGCCUUGCCGCUAUUUAAAAUGUCGUGAUUUUGUUCAAAAUUGUUGCGAUACGCUCAUUUGAUUAAUAAACUUGUAGAUAUGAAUGAAUUAAUAAGUGAAGGUGCUAAGAAUGGCUAAAACUAAAACGGG
rnacentral:lncRNA from 1 species